rnacentral:rRNA from 1 species
UACAAAGGGGGGCGAGCGUUGUUCGGAAUUACUGGGCGUAAAGGCGCGUAGGCGGCCAACUAAGUCAGACGUGAAAUCCCUCGGCUCAACCGGGGAACUGCGUCUGAUACUGGAUGGCUUGAAUUCGGGAGAGGGAUGCGGAAUUCCAGGUGUAGCGGUGAAAUGCGUAGAUAUCUGGAGGAACACCGGGUGGCGAAGGCGGCGAUCCUGGACCGAGAUUGACGCUGAUGCGCGAAAGCCAGGGGAGCAAACGGG